CAGUAGCCACGGGAAUACAGAGGGUGCGAGCGUUAAUCGGAUUUACUGGGCGUAAAGCGUGCGUAGGCGGCUAAUUGAGUCGGAUGUGAAAUCCCCGAGCUUAACUUGGGAAUUGCAUUCGAUACUGGUUAGCUAGAGUGUGGGAGAGGAUGGUAGAAUUCCAGGUGUAGCGGUGAAAUGCGUAGAGAUCUGGAGGAAUACCGAUGGCGAAGGCAGCCAUCUGGCCUAACACUGACGCUGAGGUACGAAAGCAUGGGGAGCAAACAGGAUUAGAUACCCCCGUAGUCCUUGUCUCUUAUAA
rnacentral:rRNA from 1 species